rnacentral:lncRNA from 1 species
AAUGAAGCCAAAUGGUUCCUUUUAUAGCCGAUUUUGGGAGAGGAGUCCACUCUCAAACCUAUUAGAUUAAGGGCAUAUCAAACCAAGAUCCAACGGUUCUUUGUGUCCCUCACCCUUUCAGGCAAGCGCCGGCGGUUCCUAGGCCUGCUUUGGGUCAGAAGAUUAGUUGGAAAAGAUGUAAAGUUGAUAGAAAGAGGGGCUGUGAUUGAUGGAUGGCGGAUGGAUGAAGAGGUGACGUUGGAGACCGCCGGAUAUUGUCGUUUUCCGGUGGUUCAUGGCCGUUUCUUUGGCAGCG